rnacentral:tRNA from 1 species
GGCCCUAUCGUCUAGCGGCUUAGGACACUGCUCUCUCACAGCAGAAACUCGGGUUCGACUCCCGAUAGGGCCACAA